AAGGACACAAUUGUCGCGUAUGUAAAAUGGCGGUGAACGGAUCGUUAGCGAUUGUAGAAAUGCUCCUUAAUCUAAAAGGCUAAAAACGGCAAUUCUGGAUAUCUCGUAGCGUAUCGGACUGAGGAAAAACUAGCCACUAUAAAUUUAUCCAGAAUACUGCGGAUAUUGGAGUCAGCAUAGUCGCGCAUAGUUCCAACUAUUUCUAAAAUACAAAAGUUAUAAAGGAGGAAUUUUUAUAGGAGGAAAUUGCCAUCGGAUGUUGUAUCCACAUCACCGAAAAGCACACUGAUUUUAACAUUUGUAAAGUCCUGAA